GUGGAGAUUUCCAUAGGAAACAUGAAACCGUUGUUGACCUGCUAUAGUACGUAAAUACAUCCAUACCAUAUGAACACAGUGAAACAGACCCGACAGCGUGAUUGCAAAGUCUUUCCAAAGCUCCAGAAAACAAAGUCCACUUUACAGUCGCCAAUGACCCAUCAGGCUGUCUUUGGGAUGAUGGAGGAAACCGGUCCACCCAGAGGAAACAUAUGUAAUCACAAGGGAAAAAAUGCAAACUCCACACAGACAGCACAGUAGGUCAGUUUCGAACCUAGUUCGCUUGAACCAUGUGGCCACAACUGCCAACUGUGUCUCAUUGACCUGUAUUUUACUGUGUUUACAUGUUCCUUUGAUUGAUUUUGUGUACCUUGUGUGUUAAGACUGUUGGCAGACUGAUUUCCCUCUGGGGAUGAAUAAAGUUCAAUCGUAUUGUAUCAUU